CCUACGGGAGGCAGCAGUGGGGAAUUUUGGACAAUGGGCGCAAGCCUGAUCCAGCCAUGCCGCGUGAGUGAAGAAGGCCUUCGGGUUGUAAACUCUUUCGGCCGGGAAGAAAUCGCAUUCUCUAAUAUAGGAUGUGGAUGACGUACCGGGCUAAAAGGCCCGAUCAUCGCG
rnacentral:rRNA from 1 species